rnacentral:lncRNA from 1 species
UCUCUAGGUACUUUUUGGUGAGAACAAAUGCGGGAGCGUGACCCAAAUCCUCCUGCUCAGCUUGCAGGGUUAGCGACACGGUCGAGGCCCUGUGGGUAAAGACACGUGUGGGAAAGGGCUCAGGCUCUUCCCUCCCUCCUUUUUCUCAUUCGGCCAGCGUAUUUUCCCAGCUGUGCCUUCCUCGCGCUGAGUUUUCCAGGGUUUGCCCCGAGAGCGGCUGUGAAAGGGGGGCUCGGUGCAGCCGGGCCACGGGCUGCGCUGCGGCGGGCCCGGGAAUCGCCUCGGGGCGCUGCUGCCAGCCCACAGAGGAGGCGACGCUCGCUGCAGAUCGUCGAGUGAAGUUCAAGGAUGUCAGAAAACGGAUGUUCAAGAUGCUGAUAGGCAGAUGCAGCCUUGGAGAAAGAGAAGUGAUUUUCCAUGAGCCGAGCGUCCCCGUAGCGUGAAUGGCAGCAUUGUGCGCCUCGAGCUGGGGUCCGGCGGCUCUUACGCUGGCGUGACUCCGGGAUGGCGCUGCAGAAGUCCGUGAGAUCAGGUGAAACCAAGACCCGAUUGUGACCCUCGGCUGUCAACAACAACAACAACAAAAAAGGCUCCUGAAGCUAAUUACAGGAAUACACAAGCGAAGAAAGUUCCUCUUUUUUAUUUUUGGUGCAGGGAAUAAUGAAUGUUGCUAUUUAUCUGAGCUGCUCAGAUUGUACUGUUUAGCAAGAAAGAGGAAAUUAAUUUUAUAGACCAUAUCCACAUUCCUUCCGUAUGGGGGAAAAAAGUCCCUGCCCGUCCUCUUUA